rnacentral:rRNA from 1 species
GGUAUGGGAUGAGCUUGCGUCCGAUUAGCUAGUUGGCGGGGCAACGGCCCACCAAGGCGACGAUCGGUAGCCGGCCUGAGAGGGUGAUCGGCCACAUUGGGACUGAGAUACGGCCCAGACUCCUACGGGAGGCAGCAGUAGGGAAUAUUGCACAAUGGGGGAAACCCUGAUGCAGCAACGCCACGUGUGGGAAGAAGCAUUUCGGUGUGUAAACCACUGUCAUGAGGGAAUAAGGCCCUUAUUCGUAAGGGAUUGAAUGUACCUUGAGAGGAAGCACCGGCAAACUUCGUGCCAGCAGCCGCGGUAAUACGAGGGGUGCAAGCGUUGUUCGGAAUUACUGGGCGUAAAGGGAGCGUAGGCGGAGAUUCAAGCGGAUUGUACAAUCCCGGGGCCCAACCCCGGCUCUGCAGUCCGAACUGGAUCUCUUGGAUAGUUCAGGGGCAGGC